AUUAAAGACACCUAUAAAGUCAAAGUAGUAUCUAUAAAGCUUCUAGAAAGCUUGUAUAGAAGAUAUUUUGGAAUUGACUUAUUUUUACCUAUUAUUAUUUAAAUCAUAUAAGUAAUUAUUGAUUUACAUGUGUAUGUCCAUGACACUCUCUUUCACUUGCUAUGAAAUUAUUUUCAUCUCUAUUAAGGUUAUUAUGAGUAUUGUUUAUAUUCUCCAUGUUCUUUUCUUAGUAUUGUAGAAAUUUUUUAUCAAGUUA
rnacentral:lncRNA from 1 species